rnacentral:lncRNA from 1 species
AGCCGAGCCCGUGGAGGAGCCAGCUACUACCCUGAAAGCACGGAGCUCAGCAAGAUUCUGUAAACAAAGUUCCUGUGAAUCAGACACCACCGUCUGACUGAGAGGAGCAGUGAGCGUCUUUGAGGGACUGAGGUUGGCCACUCUUUCCUGGUGAACUGGACAUGUUGGUUCGCUUGCACAUCAGGAUUUCUCUGUUGUUGUGUUUGUGUUUCGGGUGCUGGGGAUGGGCCCAGGGCGGGGACGUUGGGCCAGUGCGCUCGCCUAGAGCCCCACGCCAGCCCUCCUCGGGUUAUCUGUGAUUUCUUUGCUUGUGAUCUCUUUCAUCUCUUGGUUGGAAUGUAAUUAUAAGUUGAUUCCUAUAAGCUCUUUAAGUUUUUUCCCCUUGGCUGUACUGGGAAUUGAAGCCAGUGCCUCACACAUGCCAGACAAUCACUGAGCUGCAUACCCAGACCUCUAAAAAAUGUUGUUCUCGGAGACAGGGUCUCGCUAAGUUACCAAGGCUGGCCUCACACUUGCCAUCCUCCUGCCUCAGCCUCCCCUGGGGCUGGGAGGACAGGUCAGACCACCACGCCUGGCUACAGUGCACGUGUAUCACCCUUCCAGCUCUCCCGGGAUCUGAGGCUCAGGAGUGGUUCUUCCGCGGUGGCAAUCAGAUGUCAGCCGGGGAUGCUGUCCUUUGAAGGCCUCAUGGUGAUUCACUUUGAAGGUGGCUCAGUUGCCUGGCUGCCCAGUUGGUGCGGGUUGUUGUUCAUGGACUUAUGGAUGAAUGGAUUAUCAUGGGAGUGGCUUUGGUGUACAAGUGGGCUCUCUCUGCCACGCUCGAUCUGUCUUGCCGUGUGGUGCCCUCUGCCAGGUUGUCAUGCAGCAGGAAGACCCCCACCAGGUGCCAUCAUCAGGUUCUUAAGACUUCCCAGCCUCCGGAGCCAUGAGCCAGAUAAACCUCCGUUCUUUAUAAACGACCCCACCUGUGGUAUUCAGUUAUAGCAACAGAAAGCGGACUAAGGCAUAUGGUAAGUAACAUAGUCAUGGAAACAGCCAUCAUGAAGGCAGAGGUUCCUAUUCAGAGUUCCCCUCAGAGGGCAGGCAUGGCCCACUAUACAGGGGGUCAGUUGAGGCAGAGAGAACCAAGGGAAAAUGUGCUAGAGCUUUUAUUGUGCUCUCCAUGGGAAAGCCUAAUCGUGCAGAGUUAGGUUUAGGAUUUGGCAAGUUUGGAUAAUUUCAGCAGAUUCUAGGGCAUAGGGCUGUCCCCGGUUGCCUGGUACCUGGCCCUUGAGUAACUAGGACAGAGGAAUAUUGGCCUGGGGGGUAAGAGUGUCCUGUGCUGUGUAAACUUGGGACGGUUGGUCUUUGGAAAGGCGUGUUCCUGGGCACACCAGCUGUUUACUAUCUCUGGAACUUAGCUAACUGUGGGAGGGGCCGUUGCUCAGGAUGGCAGCGUCAAGAGGGCAAAACAUGAGAUAGUAUCAGACCUAAGAAGCUUGGCACACAGACCUCUCCUCCCUCUGCCCUCUGCCCACCAGCUUCCUCCCCCGACCCCGCGCACCUGACCCUGCUCAGAUCCUUGCUCUGCCUGCCUGCCUUCCACGGCAGGGCUCUGUCCCUGGUCCUGUCUGCCUCCCUGGGUCCUGAGCCAUCAGGUUCACCCCGGGGACUUCUGGGUCCCUCCUGGAGCCCUGGAUCCAGGAGUCCAGCCACCUCCCAAUGCCCCGAUGUCUGUCAUCCCCAGAGCUCAUCUCAACCCUGUGCUCUGCCCAGGUGGGGGCUGAGCAGCCUCCCUCUGGGCUCCAAGGCUGUUCCCGUGGCUGAGUCACGCAAAGACAUGAGCACACCGCGAUUUCUCAGAAAUCGGCUCUUUGCCAAUCUGGCCCCAAAGAGCACGUGACCUUGAGGGACACAGAGGGGGCUGUGCUGGCCUUCCUCCCCUGCAGCCGGCUGCCCACCGUCUCAGUCCAUUUUCUAGGCUAUAGCGAGCGCCACGGACUGGGUCCAUUAUGAGCAGUGGAAGAGCAUCUGUGCUCUAUUCCGGGAGUCCCUGCGCCUGGCGCCAUCAUCAGGCCGGGGGCCUUAGCGGUGAGUCCCAAAUGGCAGAAGGGCCAGGAAGUGUGCAAGAGACGGAACCGGGCCCCACUUGCCCUGUUUAACAGGACCUGCUACUGCAAUCAGCAAUCCCAGGACAGAGGUUCCACCUUUUAAGACUGUUAGGCAGUCACCCUGCGCUACCUGGGCGGGGCUGUGGCCGGGAGGCAGGGCACUUGUGGGCAGGCUGGAGGCCCGGAGUCCGUCCCCAGCCCUGGAACAAACAAGCUCCAGAAUGAGCUUUGGAGGGAAUAUUCUAAGCAUGGCCCUGGUCAGAUCUGAUGGGUCUUCCUCCUUCACCUCUCGGAGUCCCUCUUCCUCUGUCCCAGUGCCCGUGUUUCCAUUCAUCUGCCAAGACGCAGACACCUGACUCUGUCUGCCCCCAGACCCAGCCUCAGCCAUUAGCCAGAGGGGAUCCUGAAACAGUCACGGAGGGCAUCUCCCACCCCCGCCUAGAAGGCCUAUUGCCCCGAAGAAAGCUCAACCUGACCCUGGUCUGAGUCUGUCCCCCAGGGCUCCUGGGAUGGAGGGGUGGUCCCCAGGAUAGGGAUGCUGAGAGAUGACAGGUUGUUAGGAGUUGGGGGUCCAGUGGCGGUUGUUUAGCUCACUGAGGGCGCUAGAGAGGACCCCAUGCUUUGUGGAACUCUGGUUAGCACUCAUCAGAGUACUAGUUCUCAAUGUCAUAAAGAGAGCAGGUCUGGCCCGGGCAUGGUGGCACAUACCUGCAAUCCCAGCAACUUAGGAGGCUGAGGAAGGAGGAUCACAAGUUCAAGGCCAACCCCAGCAACUUAGAGGUAGGAAGUAGGCCCAAAAUAAUUUAGUGAGACCUUGACUCGAAACAAAAAAAUAAAAAGGGCUAGGGAUGUGGCUCGGUGGUAAAGCACCCCUGGGUUCACCAUCCCCAGUACAAAAAAAAAAAAAGCCCCGUGAUGCACCCAGAGGAGAGCCGAUAUGGGUACCAUGCCCUUGAACCUCCUGAGCUGUGUGCUAAGGAAGCCUCUUUUCUUUAUAAAGGACUCAGCCUCAGGAUCUCAUUGUAGUUACAGCAAACAUGCCUCUUAGAUGGAGCCACAAGCCCUUCCCUGCUAAACUCUGUAGGCCUUUGGGCGGCCGUGAGCAUUUCCUGUUGCCUAGACCACAGGCCCCUGGCUUACUCAUCACCAUGCCAACACAUCCUCUGUCUGCCUCAAAGUCACGUCCUCUCUGCUAUCAGAUUAAUAAAGAGCAGAUUUUGAGAAGUCAUGGUGUGGGUGUGGGUGCGGACAUGGCAGGUGUGACCGAGCCCGGGGGAACAGCCUUGGAGCAGGGCAGUUAGACGAGGCUGUAAAAGUCACCCAUCACCUCCCAUGCAGCCACCUUAUUGGGGGACUCUAUCCUGCAGAUAAACUUGAGCACACGAGAGAAUUCACAGGAAGUGAGUCUGUGCU